rnacentral:rRNA from 1 species
UACGGGGGGGGCAAGCGUUGUUCGGAAUUAUUGGGCGUAAAGAGCUCGUAGGCGGUUUGUCACGUCUGCUGUGAAAUCCCGAGGCUCAACCUCGGGCCUGCAGUGGGUACGGGCAGACUGGAGUGCGGUAGGGGAGAAUGGAAUUCCUGGUGUAGCGGUGAAAUGCGCAGAUAUCAGGAAGAACACCCGUGGCGAAGGCGGCUCUCUGGGACGGUACUGACGCUGAGACGCGAAAGCGUGGGGAGCGAACAGG